GCCAUCAACAAUAGUACGUUGAACGCAUUAGUUUAAAUUAGAUUACUGAAGUUAAGAAACGUUGGAUAUGGUUGGGACCCGGAUGGGUGACCAUCAGGGAAACCACGUGUUGCUGACU
rnacentral:rRNA from 1 species